AAUUAAGAAUAGUCUACAGCCUGAAUGCACCUGACCUUGCCUGAUCUUGGAAGCUAAGCAGGGUCGGGCCUGCUUAGUACUUGGAUAGGAGAAAAAUUAAGAAUAAUUU
rnacentral:rRNA from 1 species